AUUGAACGCUGGCGGCAGGCCUAACACAUGCAAGUCGAACGAGUCGCGGACUUUUGAGUAAUGUCUGUGAAACUUCCUGAUGGAUGGGGAUAACUACUGGAACCGGUAUCUAAUACCGCAUACCAUCGGAUGUGCCCAGAUGGGAUUAGCUAGUGGGUGGGGUAAAGGCUCACCAAGGAGACGAUCCCUAGCUGGUCUGAGAGGAUGACCAGCCACACUGGAACUGAGACACGGUCCAUACUCCUACGGGAGGCAGCAGUGGGGAAUAUUGCACAAUGGGCGCAAGCCUGAUGCAGCCAUGCCGCGUGUAUGAAGAAGGCCUUCGGGUUGUAAAGUACUUUCAGCGGGGAGGCGGUACCCGAAGAAGAAGCACCGGCUAACUCCGUGCCAGCAGCCGCGGUAAUAG
rnacentral:rRNA from 1 species